AGAACUCAAUUACGACUACAUAUGCAUUAAGGCAGGAACUGGCAGGCCUCAGGGUACGCCAACUAUAGGACUCGUGCUUCUCGUACGCUGGGCUAUAAUCUAUGAAACUGAGCUCCAGAGCCAGCCAAUCACUUAGCUCCUCAUAACAAGUCUAACUGGCUCUGGAAAGCUGAAAGGGCUGCACUGGAACAACACAGAUGAGAUAUUCUACACAUUAAUCUACUUAUCUGGAAUCACUUUGCCUCUAAAGGCCAGAGAAAAAUCACAGCUUCCUUGUCGGAGGGGAAAAGGACAGGUGAUCUGGGGAAAACGCAGCUACACCUGGAGCAAGGUCUCUUCCCGGCUUGGCAAUCUCAGCUGUGCCGGCGCUACGGGACCCGAGCCGUCCCAGAAACCAAAGGGCAGGCACGGCAGCAAACGCCUGAGUGCUGCUGCCUUCGGUGACUAUAUGAGAAUGGAAACUUCUAAGGAAGCCAGGUUGUUAGAAUUGUUACCCCCUUUACUCAGAGAUAACAUAGAUUAUCCAGGCUGAGAUGGAAAACAAGCCCUUUAUUGAAUUUUCAACACAGACUCCCUGCUUCUCAUCUCCUUAAUAAAAUUUCAUUAAAAUCCCCUUGAACUCCCAUGUUCAAAUCUCCAUUUGUUGACAGACAAAGCCAACAAUACUCUAAACUGAGGCCUGCAAGUCAUUUCAUUUGUAUUUUUGUCCAGAAAUUUCCCAUAGGAAGACUUCACCUCCUACAACUCCGAAGAAAACCCUUACUGUCCAAGACCGUCACCAGCAACCAUCCGCAGUCAUUCAAGUGGAAGCUUUCACAGCUUUUGUACAUUCUCUGUGUCAAUAUACAACUGAGUUACAGACUGUCCCCUGGCUCCCUGACCCUUACAAACACUAAAAGUUUUGUUUGACUCAACUUCAAGCUGCUCAUCUGUUAGUAAGUGAUGUUCACUCCAGAACACAUUCAUGAUGAGAACUUUCUAAAAGACCAGCACUGCUCUUCCCCUCCUAUAAUCAUAAUAAUCAUGAUAACCUGAAACAUGUUACUGGGACUCGACAUUUUUCUGGGGAUUGAAAUCUUUAGUCCUUGGAGCUGUCACAUAGCAGGGGCAACCUCACACUGAAACAAAGGAAGUGAUGUCCCAUUAUUAUCCACCCUGAGCCACCAUAAUAUGCUGUUUACAUUUAUUUUCUUCAGCCUGUGCAAAACAAAGCAAUGGAAAAGGAAACUAAAAAAUAUACAUACUAGUACCAUUAUCUUCUUUUGCCUAAAAUUACUAAUGCACCACGUCAGUCUGCUUCCUUCAGGCAUCAUUCUCAAUUCAUCAGGACUUGUAUUAGCAGGUUCUGGCUAGAGAGACUAUCUCCUGUCAUCACGAUCAAUUAAUGUUUUCUGGUGAUCACAUCAGGCCCUAUCUAAGAAGCUCAUGGUAUACAAGGGUCACCCAAAUAGCUGAGUGCAGUCCUUGCUCAUAUUUCCUUCAUCUUAACCCCGCAAACAAGAAUUAAGAUGAUCCCAAUAAAAGAAAAAUUGCUCAGGAAACUGAACCUUUUUCUGAACCAAGCACUGUCAGCAAAUCUCAGGUAUUAGAGCAACUAUGGUUGAUUGAAAAGUGUCUCAAAAUCUGGGCCAAGAAUGAUUGCUAGGUCCAUAAGCUAAUUUGUCUGGCCUUGCCAUUUACGUAAGCCAAAGAAAGUCACUCAUGAGUAAACUAUAGAAAACGUUCAGACCCAUCCUGUUAGUAUGUCAAAUCAACUAAGACUGGCAGGGUAUUAACUCCAUUCCAGGUGACAUGGAUAAAGAGCCCCAUUAUUUUCACAGUGCCAGCCUCUACCUAAGGAAACCCUAGACCUUGGAACCAGUUUCCUGGUAGGGAACUGCUGACAGUUUCAAUGCUGACAGUUGGAGCCAAUGCCUCAUAGUGUAAACUGAAAGAAAAAUAGUUGCUUUUUAAAAUGUCAGCAAGAAGGCCUGCCUCAUCUUAACAAAGCAAAAAAAAAUGCUUUAAUUCAAAUUAAAAAUCAUGAUACUAGAGAUGGGAGUCUGUGGUCACUAUAAAGAUAAAGUUCAUGUUCUUGGUUCAGAUAACAAAACACUUUAUCUGGAUAAAUGGACCUCAAAAUUUGCUCUUGGCACAUGGGGGAAAUUUUUUGUUGUAUUUUGUUGUUGUUGUUGUUCUUGUUGUUAUUGUUUAAAUUAAUCUUCCUAAGGCCAUGAAUAUGAAAUCAUAUUAAUAAUGCAUGUGACAAAAUUCUAAAAUAUAUUACACUUAAAAUUAGCAUAAACCAUCAACUUUUAGUACUCAUAUAUUGCAGUCAAAACUCUUCUAGGUAAUGAGACCUGAACAGAAGGAUCCAUUUAUCUGUGGUCUUGCUCUUUGUCUAAGUUUCUCGAAAGCAUUAGGACAAUGACAUAUACAAAAACUGGCAAUUACAUUUAAUAAGAAAAAUGUGGGGAGUGCAUUCUUAAUAUUUGAUGCUAAAACCAUAUCUUUGCUUUAAACAUGUAAAGCAGUAUAACAUGGUGGUUGGUAGAAACUCUGGAGUCAGGCCACCUGGGUUCACAUCCCAGCUCUGACUCUUAAUUGUUAGACCCUGAGCAAGCUACUUAACAGCAUUAUGCCUCAGUUUCCUCCUAUAUAAAAGGGUGCCACACACAGUAACUACCUCCUAGGCUGGUGUGAAGAUUAAAUGGGCAAAUACAUGCUUAGAACUGAGCCUAUUAUAUGGUGACUGCUCAUUAAAAGAAAAUUGUCGGGAGGGAUAGCAUUGGGAGAUAUACCUAAUGCUAGAUGACGCGUUAGUGGGUGCAGCGCACCAGCAUGGCACAUGU
ensembl:lncRNA PART1 prostate androgen-regulated transcript 1